UACAGAGGGUGCGAGCGUUGUUCGGAAUUAUUGGGCGUAAAGCGCUUGUAGGCGGCUUGUUAAGUUCCGUGUGAAAUCCCCAGGCUUAACCUGGGAAGUGCGCGGAAAACUGGCGAGCUUGAGUAUGGCGAGAGGGGGGGUGGAAUUCCGCGUGUAGCAGUGAAAUCGUAGAGAUGCGGAGGAACACCGAUGGCGAAGGCAGCCCCCCUGGGCCAAUACUGACGCCUCAGGCACGAAAGCGUGGGGAGCAAAACA
rnacentral:rRNA from 1 species